AAAGAGAACCAGAGUUCUCUGACCCGACUGGUGCUACUCCGUCCGGCCACAGCACAGCGGCGGACCACCGGCAUUCUCUCCGCCUCGCCAUCGUCGUCACACCCGUGGCCUCUGAUUGUCCAUGGAUUGAACGAAGAAGGAAUAUCGAAGACCCCAAGCUCCGAGUCUCCUUCGGCGAGUUUCAACGAAUUCCGGCGACUCCGGUCACCGAUUAAGCUUCAUGUGGCUAACAAUCGAAAAGCUUUCUGGUUGUUGGCAUCACACUCACCAGUUCAUCUUCGGCAGUGACACUGGGAAAUUGGGUUUUCGUCAUUAGGCUUGUCCUGGGAACUGAGUUGGGUUGAUUAAAGUUGAUUUCCGAUUUCGAAGGUAUAAUCACGUUUUGUUCUUGUGUUAGUGAUCGGAAGUUAUGGAACUGAGUUUGGUUUGAUAUGGUGAAAUUGAAGACUCUGUUAUCAUCGAAUUGGUUAUGUUGUCUUGUUUAUGGUGUUUUAAGUUGUUGCAAGUAAAUCUGGGAAUUGAUAUUUGAAUUGAGAUUGUGGACUGAAAUUGGCUGCAUGUGUUGCUUGUGCUUACGGUGAAUCUGCGUUUAUGAGAAUGUUGUUUUUUUUUUUU